rnacentral:ncRNA from 1 species
GGCCACCUUUGGGGGGCUACAACAUAGGCGGGCAUGAUCCGCUGCAAGCAAACGGAAGACAGAAA